ACACACGGACAGAGACGGGAGAGGAGAGAGAGAUGAAGAGAUAGAGAGGAGGAGAGGGAAGGGAGGAUAGGCAGGAGAGAGCCAAAAAGAUAGAGAGUGAAAGGAAGAGAGAGAUAAGAGAGAAGGAAAGAUGAGAGGGAGGAAGAUGGAGAAAGUAGAAGAGCAGGAAACAACAGUUGGAGAGAGAGAAAGAAGGAGAGAGAGAAAGAGAGACACUGAGCCCUGGGGACAGAGGGAAGGACAGCUGGGCUGGAGGCAGGGGGCCUGGGAGCCUGGUCAAGUCAGUCCAUGAGGCUGCUCUGAGACGUCACUGGGGGCAGGGAGAGAGUUAUCCAGAACUUUAGUACAGUCUUCUUUCUAGAAAACAGUGCUACCAGAAAGGGCUUAUGUCCAGAUCUGAGGUGCACUUACUUGUUCCCGAAGAUCCAAAUCUAAGUUGCUUUUAGAUUCUACUCUGUGCUUCCACGGAGUCUACUCUAACGACCUUGGCCAGGUCUCUGGCCUCCAUCAAGGAACGACCAGAAUUCCUGGGUCUGGCCACAGGUUUUGGCCCCGCCUCAGAGGGUUGGGUGAGGGGGCUUAGCAGGUGUAGGAGAGCUUGCUCUGGGCAGUAGCUGUGGGCCUUACUUCUGUAUUUGCCGCAGUAUCUGAUUUGCCCUGUAGAGCAUUUAUGUCACUAGGUUUUUACAAAAGUUGCUUUUUGACUUAUUGCCUUAGUGACGAGUUGUCAGGUUUUUCUCUGUUUAAGUGGCUACAGCUGAAUAGCUCAGGCCAAACUUAAAGCUCACACUUGAGACUUGACGUGCUCAGCUCCUGCUAAAGAGGCUCCAGGGCAGCGCCUGCCUUUCCGGGAAGCUCCCCUGAGGGUCACCGAGGCUGCAGAGAACACCCGGUGAUGACUGCAUGGAUCUCCUUCAUCUGCUGGGAUUCAAGCUGUGUUGCUGGGUCCUGCCUACCCAUCUGAGGACAUGUCUGCUCAUCACCCAUGUGCAUUCUGUCACAGUGGGACCUGUGUGUGUUCCCUGCUCAUUGUCGUUUCCAUGGUUUUGCUGAUUCUAUGCGAUUCUUCCAGGCCACUCCAAGUUCCACCUCUUCCACGAAGCCCUCCUUGAUUGCUGGGCCCUGGUUGAACUCCUUAUUAGUAACACCCAGGUACAGUCCUGCAGUCCUCAGAGGAUGCCAGUCCCACACAGGGGGAUCCUUCUCCAUAGGAAAACCGAGGAACAAUGCAGGUUCGAGGUGCACAGUGGCUAAGCACACUCAGUCCUCAAGAUCUUUCCUCUCAAAUGCUAAUGCUACCUUCAGAUGGGCUGCUGCCUGCUACCAUUUCAACAUUGAGUCCUUUAAGAUGCCAUCAGAGAGAGGGGAAGCAAGAGGCCAAGAAAAAUGAAAGGUAAGCACAAGACCAGUAGAAUGAGUGGGGAGAUCUGUCUGUCUGUCUGUCUGUUUGUUUGUUUGAAGUGUCUUCUGCUUGACUGCAGUUACUGUUCUUCAAGUGAGGGCGAAGCGCUUCUCUUCUCCUCUCUGAUAGCUCUGCAGCUCUCUAAGUAAACUCUUUGACAAACACAUCGCAGCAGCGAGUGGAAACAUGUCUGAGACGCUGCAGCAUAGCCCGGCUGGUUCUGUUCUUAGCAGUAUUUGCUAAGUUCCAUCCAUUAGAAUGUUUUUAAACAAUGGGACGCAUGUCAUCUUGAUUUGACAGGAUAAUCCUGAGUUUAUAGAAUUUCAUCACAGUGUGUGAAACUGGUUUUUAACUUCACUAUACUGGCCCUCAGCGGUGGAGUCAACUGGGCACUGAAUAGAAAAAUCUCCCUCCUCCGUGUUGUCCCCAGCCCACCACAUUUCGCCCUAAGCUCUGCCCUGCACCAACACCAGCCUUCUUCUGGAGUUUGGCAGCUGUGGCAACUGCUGGCUGUCUCUCAACCACUUCACAAUAUGUAUCAAUGUAUUCUACAAAUCAUUGUAUUUGCCAAGCAUUCUACUACUACACAGUUCUGAUUCAACUGACGUGUAUCUUAGAGGUCAAUAUAUUUUCUUUUUCCCUUAGCUUGGCUAGGACUCCAUAGGAAACAGCUAUUUGAGUGAUGAUAUAUAGGAGAAGGAUAGUACUGUAUUUAACUGUCUGUUAAUAUCAGAGAAGAUGAAUAUUUUUCACCUCCCUGUACAUAGCUAUGCAUAAGCUUGGUAUUCAUUUAUGAACAAUGUAGCAUUUUCAAAGGCACAACUGAUUUACUUACAUUAAGUCAAUAUAAAUAAAUUAUGUUAGUAGAUUGCGAAUUUUGAAAGUUGUAAUCAACAUCAAAAAUGAAAUGUCUUGGUUGUCCAACUUAAAUUAUAUAAUGCAAUUUCAACACAGUAAAAAAAAAAUCACCUAGCGUAAUAGUGAGAGUUUGAAUCAUUAUUAGUUAGAUUCUUGUUUGUAUUAAUUAAGAAUUUCACAGACAUUGUUUGUAAGUGAAAAAGAUAUUUUAAAUAAGUAUUUAGAACAAUUUUUGUUUUGUGAUCCUUCAUGCUGCCUGUUGAAUGAGUUAAGC
rnacentral:lncRNA from 10 species